rnacentral:rRNA from 1 species
GUGCACCAGGCGCGAAACCUCCGCAAUGCGGGAAACCGCGACGGGGGGACCCCGAGUGCCGUGGCAACGCCACGGCUUUUCCGGAGUGUAAAAAGCUCCGGGAAUAAGGGCUGGGCAAGGCCGGUGGCAGCCGCCGCGGUAAUACCGGCGGCCCGAGUGGUGGCCGCUAUUAUUGGGCCUAAAGCGUCCGUAGCCGGGCCCGUAAGUCCCUGGCGAAAUCCCACGGCUCAACCGUGGGGCUUGCUGGGGAUACUGCGGGUCUUGGGACCGGGAGAGGCGGGGGGUACCCCUGGGGUAGGGGUGAAAUCCUAUAAUCCCAGGGGGACCGCCAGUGGCGAAGGCGCCCCGCUGGAACGGGUCCGACGGUGAGGGACGAAGGCCAGGGGAGCAAAACCGGAUUAGAUACCCGUGUAGU